rnacentral:rRNA from 1 species
UGGGGAAUUUUGGACAAUGGGCGAAAGCCUGAUCCAGCAAUGCCGCGUGUGUGAAGAAGGCCUUCGGGUUGUAAAGCACUUUUGUCCGGAAAGAAAUCCUUGGCUCUAAUACAGUCGGGGGAUGACGGUACCGGAAGAAUAAGCACCGGCUAACUACGUGCCAGCAGCCGCGGUAAUACGUAGGGUGCAAGCGUUAAUCGGAAUUACUGGGCGUAAAGCGUGCGCAGGCGGUUUGCUAAGACCGAUGUGAAAUCCCCGGGCUCAACCUGGGAACUGCAUUGGUGACUGGCAGGCUAGAGUAUGGCAGAGGGGGGUAGAAUUCCACGUGUAGCAGUGAAAUGCGUAGAGAUGUGGAGGAAUACCGAUGGCGAAGGCAGCCCCCUGGGCAAUACUGACGCUCAUGCACGAAAGCGUGGGGAGCAAACAGGAUUAGAUACCCUGGUAGUCCACGCCCUAAAACGAUGUCAACUAGUUGUUGGGGAUUCAUUUCCUUAGUAACGUAGCUAACGCGUGAAGUUGACCGCCUGGGGAGUACGGUCGCAAGAUU